UUCUGGUUGAUCCCGCCGGAGGUCACCGCUAUUGGAAUCCGAUUAAGCCAUGCGAGUCGUGAGGGUUCGGCCCUCGGCUGACUGCUCAGUAACACGUGGAUAAUCUGCCCUAGGACGGGAAAUACCCUCGAGAAAUUGAGAUCAAGGUCCCUUAGGUCCAGGAUGCUGGAACGCUCCAGGACUGAACCCUAGGAUGAGUCUGCGGCCUAUCAGGUUGUAGUGAGUGUAACGUACUCACUAGCCGAUUACGGGUAUGGGCCAUGGGAGUGGUAGCCCGGAGAUGGACUCUGAGACACGAGUCCAGGCCCUACGGGGCGCAGCAGGCGCGAAAACUUCGCAAUGCGGGAAACCGCGACGAGGGGAUUCCAAGUGCUCACACAAUGUGUGAUGCUGUUUCUAG
rnacentral:rRNA from 1 species